UAAGGUCACGGCAAGACGAGCCGUUUAUCAUUACAAUAGGUGUCAAGUGGAAGUGCAGUGAUGUAUGCAGCUGAGGCAUCCUAACAGACCAAUAGACUUGAAC
rnacentral:rRNA from 1 species